AUAGCUCAGUGGUAGAGUGCAUGCUUAGCAUGCCUGAGGUCCUGGGUUCAAUCCCCAGU
rnacentral:tRNA from 1 species